GGUCAAUCGGCUGCCAGCCGGAUUGGCCAGCGUAUCAUUCCAGAAUGUACUGUUUGUUCUGUGGGGUUUAGGAGUUCUACAGUGGUUCUGCCCCAUCUUUCUAAAAAUACAAUACAGGGUCUCACUAUGUUACCCAGGCUGGUCUUGAACUCCUGGGCUCAAGCAAUCCUCCCACUUUGGCCUCUCAAAGCACUGGGAUUACAGGGUCUUACUCUGUCACCCAGGCUGGAGUACAGUGGUGUGAUAUCGGCUCACUGCAACCUCUGCCUACCUGGUUCAAGUGAUUCUCCUGCCUCAGCCUCCCGAGUAGCUGGGACUACAGACUUGCCAAAGAAGCUGCUUAUUUCACAGAAGGAUGGUGCUGGCUGAAAGAUACUUCCUUGAAACUGAGAGAUUGCUUCCUUAGACAGGUCUCCUUGAAGAGAAUCCCACUCUGUCAGCCCGGCUG
rnacentral:antisense_RNA from 1 species